UUCCAACGAAUGCAAGACCG
rnacentral:miRNA from 1 species